rnacentral:rRNA from 1 species
UACGUAGGGUGCAAGCGUUGUCCGGAAUUAUUGGGCGUAAAGAGCUCGUAGGCGGUUCGGUAAGUCGGGUGUGAAAACUCUGGGCUCAACUCAGAGACGCCACCUGAUACUGCCGUGACUGGAGUCUGGUAGGGGAGUGUGGAAUUCCCGGUGUAGCGGUGAAAUGCGCAGAUAUCGGGAGGAACACCAGUGGCGAAGGCGGCACUCUGGGCCAGUACUGACGCUGAGGAGCGAAAGCGUGGGGAGCGAACAGG